rnacentral:rRNA from 1 species
UGGGGGAUAUUGCACAAUGGGCGAAAGCCUGAUGCAGCGACGCCGCGUGGGGGAUGAAGGCUUUCGGGUUGUAAACCUCUUUCGCUAUCGAACAAGGCCCGCUUAGGGUGGGUUGAGGGUAGGUGGAGAAGAAGCGCCGGCUAACUACGUGCCAGCAGCCGCGGUAAUACGUAGGGCGCGAGCGUUGUCCGGAAGUAUUGGGCGUAAAGGGCUUGUAGGCGGCUUGUUGCGCCUGCUGUGAAAACGCGGGGCUUAACUUCGCGCGUGCAGUGGGUACGGGCAGGCUUGAGUGUGGUAGGGGUGACUGGAAUUCCAGGUGUAGCGGUGGAAUGCGCAGAUAUCUGGAGGAACACCGAUGGCGAAGGAAGGUCACUGGGCCGUUACUGACGCUGAGGAGCGAAAGCAUGGGUAGCGAACAGG